GUGCUGUGGAGACAGAAGACUGAUGGCUCCUGGUGAUACAGUGGACCUGGAGACAGUGACACUCCCUUGGUCUGCCUCAAUCCCCUUGACUUUGUUCCCCACUGGAAUAUGGAAUGGUCAACAGUUCCCUAAUCCAGGCUCCCCCUUGCCAAGCAAGAUAGUGGAAAACAAGUCAGAGGUUGAAUUCUUCCCUGAAGGCCUGAAAGCAAAGCUCAGUUAAGGAGUCCUGGGGAGCUGAAAUCCUUGAUAAUGCCAAACAAUUCAACACUUUACACUCUCUUUACUUUGUCUGCACCACAGAAAAAUAUCGACUCGAUGCUGCCAGCUGAGGGAAGUGAGAUGCCAUAUUCUUUCUGCAUGUAGAAAUCUAUUCCCUUUGGAGGGUGAGAGCUUAGGAUCCCAAGCUUGAUAGGGCCAAGCAAGGCAAAGGGCAGUCUGGUACUCCUUGCCCCCAUCGGCUGUAGGACCUCGUACACCUGGACUAUCUUUCUGUCCUUCUGCAUGUGCUGCUGCUCUGUUCUUGCACAGAACCUCUGAUCAGAGGUGCAAAUAGCACUUCCUGAGCUUAGCGCCAGCCAGGGCCCUGGAGGUUACAAAGCUGCCGCCUUCCAGCUCAGACUUUCAGCUUGGGGCAACACAUUUCAGCCUGGGGCUGAUAUAAGAAUGUUUCACCAGCACCUUUGUUUCUAGAAGAGGAGGCUGGGGAUAGAGGCCAAGACUUGCCCAGAGCCACACUGCAAUCAUGCUAGAGCGUACAGCCCCUUCUGCCAACACGUAGCCCGGAAAUUUGCCUAUUUGUCUAAUCACCUUUGAGUCUUGAACAAAUAUUAAAUGCCUGCGAUAUGCCAGGCAUUGUGUUAGGACCCAGGCAGCUUUCUGAGAGUCCAGGGAGCUCAGCUUUCAGGUAUCCUUAGAGACAAAGUGCAGAGCUCAUGCCUGGGUCGAGGGAAGUUCUACUGGGGCAAACAAUGUCUGGCUUCCGCAGACAUUUUCAAAUCCCUCUCCCCUCCUCUGUAGCCAUUUCCCUCUCCAGUUUAUACUCACACACACUCACCUGCAUUUCAGGCACCCAGAAACACACUAAACAUCUGGAAGUUCUGUUCAGUGAUCUGUCUUCCUUCUUCUUUUAUAAUAGUUAAGAGUGUGAGUUUAGGUUUAAAUAUUGGUUCUAAUGCUAGUUGGAAGAACUGUGGUUAGUCUAUCUGUGUCUCUGUGGUGUCAUCUAUAAAAUGGGGGUGUUAAGAAUGCUAUAUAAUAUUAAAUAGAAUAGUACUGUUCAGCAUGGUGCCAAGUACAUGGUAUUAAAAAAUUCUAGCUGCUGGUCAGAGAGAUGGUUUAUCAGGUAAAGGACAAAAGUGGAGGAAGGAGAGAACUGAGUUCCACAAGUUGUCCUCCAACUUCCACAUUUACACUCAACACUACCCACUCCGAGCCAAUGGAUAAGUGUGAUGAUGCUUUAAAAAGUACUAGCUGGUAGGCAAAAAUUCUACUACUAAGCCAAACCCACAACUUAUUAUUAUUCUAAUGGACAGUGUCAGGAGGAGGUUUGGACAAAGAACAGUCUCCUGUCUUAUGCUGGUCCAGCUUUGCUCCCUCCAAAGAUAGCAUUCUGUACUCAUGGUGUGAGCCACUCACCUUGGUCUCUUUUCUAUUCCUAUCCCCUCCACCCCACAUCCACAAUGCAGAGCGGUGGCUCCACAGUGCAGAACCAGCUGCCAGUUGUCAUCCUGUGCCUCCCUGGAGAGAGAGAGAGCACAAGGCAGGGAGGAGAGGACAGUAGCCUUGACUUAGAUCAUUGGUGCAGAGCUUUGUGGGGUGUCAGCCUUUUGUAUAGAGGAAAGUCAUCUGUUUCCUGGGCCCACAGCCAGCUCAUCUCCAGCACAGUGCUAUGAGAAGCUUCAGAAACCAGAAGAGAGAAUGAAAAAGACCUUCUGGGUUUGUGUUACAGCUUUUAGGGAGUCCCUUGCUCUCUUCAGAACUAGAACAUGAGCCCAGGAAAAAGAGGGCCCAUGCAGGAAGAUCCUCUGACUCCAAGUGGGGUAUUACGAGUUAGUUAGGACAGUAACUCCAGCCUUCAACCAGUGGCAUUUGUAAAAUCCUAUGUCAUCAAUUGCUCACGACAGUCCUUUGAGACCAACAUGACUGUUAAGUGUUAAGUGUUGUUAACAGCAUUUAACUGAUAACUAGUUUGAGGCCCAGAUAUGUUGCAGAGCAUGCUCAAGGUCCUGAGCAGGUAAGGGGUAAGGGUAGCAAGAAUGUAAGCUUCCUUAUCCUGAUUCCUAGUCACACUCACUUUUGAGGCCCUUGGUCAUCUCUGUUUCACAAGGGAGGGAGCUGAGUGGCUCAUCCAAAUACUACAUUAUGUCAAAGAAGGUAGGAAAACAAACCACAAUCAACCAACCAAUGAACCAGUGACAAACAAACAAAUAAACAAAAAUCUAUGACAUGUGGGUAAGCUGAGAGUGUGACCCCAAACAUAUUGGUAUCAGUUUCUUUGCACUCUGAUAUGAUGGCCAAUGGCCAGACUUGGUCUGAGAAAUGGACGGAAGAGGACUACCUAAGACCUUGAGAAUGCAUCAAAGGUCAAGAACUGUAAUCUAAGACCAAACUUUGGGGCUUCUAACUGCCCUGAAGUUCAGCUUUCAUUCAUUCAUUUGGGCAGAUUCAUUCCUUCUAAUAACAAAUCUCUGCUCUCGUGUAUUCAUCCAACAUUACUCUUUCAUUCUAAUUAUUCAUUUGAUAUGUGAUGUGUGCUGUUCUUCCCACUGCUCAGAACACAGGACCUGGGACCCAGGCUCCCACCUUGCAAGAACUGAGGGUGCUGGGAAAGAAAUAAUGGUACUUUUACCAAAUCCAGAGUCAAGUCAGCCCCGCCAGCUGUCGCAGCAGUGCUCAGCUCCAUUUAAGCUUGAGCCUCCUACGCAGUGAAAUCCUGGACUGAAGACUGAGCUCACUUAGGUGUGCAGGGUGGGCAGCUCUCCCACACCCUCAGUACCUGAGGUGCGCAUGCAGCUUUCAGCCCAGGAGACAAGCUAGCCUACAGGCAUGUCUCUCAGUGGGCUGCUUGCUUACUUCUCCAGAUGUCUGUAGUUCAGCAUCUGUAUCUGCCUGUCUUUCCAGCACCAAGGUGCUCCUCCAUCUGUCUCCUUCACACCACCUUCAGAGGGGUACCCAGUAACCACUCAGUCUAGCUUCUUUUGACUCACCUCAAGUGACUUCACAACACCUGCAUCCCCUGAAGCUUCCAAAACCUUCUCUUUUCUAGCACAGUUCCAUCCAACACUCAUGUCUCUCUUAUCUAUGUGACAGGUCCUGUGAUGUCACAAUUUGGCAGUCCCGUGAUGUCACAUAGCAGCAGUCCUAUCAUAACUCAUACCAGCCCUAAGAACUAAGGUGACUAAGGCUGUUGGUCUUUGGAGGGGUUACUGUGUGUCAGAAGGUGACAGCGAGCAGGUCUAUGGGGAGGAUAACAUGGGGUUCAAGGACAGGAACAAGCUUCACCCAGAUGGAGGAUAUGACUGAGCUGAGCCUCAACCAAUAAAAAUGGGGUUGGAUAAAAGGAGAGUGCUCUAGACAGAGGCAAAAAAGCAUUUUGGAAAGGUAGAAAAUGGCACCACACACCAGGAAAUAGUGUAUUUGACUUGAUGAUGAAGGAUGGCCCUGAAUGAGGCUGCCAAGGCUGGAAGGGUCCCACAGGCCAGGCUCAAGUCUUUAUCUGGCAGGAAAAACUUGGUUUUUAAUAUUUAGUGUUAGUUCCUAAAGAUUUACCUCAGAGUCACCUUCAGUCCAAGGAGCCUUCUCAGACUCAGUUCUAGAGCAGCACUGGGGGUGGGACUCAGGGCCCUGGGAAUGGUAAGCAAGCACUCCACCUUUGACUUUACAUCCCUAGACCCUUUUGGGGACUAACUGAUACCUCCUGCCCCUGUUACAGUGCCCCUCACUUGACUUUAAAUUCUCACCUAACUGGCUGAUGCCACCACUGGAUGGAGAUGAAGACUUGUUCUCUCCAGAAAGAGUCUGCCAUGGAAUGAGUGAGCUCAAACUGAAGCCAAUUUGCUCACUUCCUGAUAUCUGCCUCCAUCUAAACUCUGUUUAAAUAAAGAUUGACCUAUCUCUC
rnacentral:lncRNA from 1 species